AGCAGCCGCGGUAAUUCCAGCUCCAAUAGCGUAUAUUAAAGUUGUUGCAGUUAAAAAGCUCGUAGUUGAAUUUCGGGGUUAGCAGGUCGGUCGUGCCAUCGGUAUGAACUGGUCUCGCUGAUCCCUCCCUCUUGACGAACUGUGAUGCCAUUAAUUUGGUGUCGCAGGGAAUCAGGACUGUUACUUUGAAAAAGUUAGAGUGUUUAAAGCAGGCUCACGCUUGAAUACAUUAGCAUGGAAUAAUGAAAUAGGACGUUUGAUCCUAUUUUGUUGGCUUCUAGGAUUGACGUAAUGAUUAAUAGGGAUAGUUGGGGGCAUUAGUAUUCAAUUGUCAGAGGUGAAAUUCUUGGAUUUAUUGAAGACUAACUACUGCGAAAGCAUUUGCCAAGGAUGUUUUCAUUAAUCAAGAACGAAAGUUAGGGGAUCGAAGACGAUCAGAUACCGUCGUAGUCUUAACCAUAAACUAUGCC
rnacentral:rRNA from 1 species